rnacentral:rRNA from 1 species
GACGAACGCUGGCGGCGUGCCUAAUACAUGCAAGUAGAACGCUGAAGGAGGAGCUUGCUUCUCUGGAUGAGUUGCGAACGGGUGAGUAACGCGUAGGUAACCUGCCUGGUAGCGGGGGAUAACUAUUGGAAACGAUAGCUAAUACCGCAUAAUAGCAGUUGUUGCAUGACAACUGUUUGAAAGGUGCAAUUUCACCACUACCAGAUGGACCUGCGUUGUAUUAGCUAGUUGGUGGGGUAACGGCUCACCAAGGCGACGAUACAUAGCCGACCUGAGAGGGGGAUCGGCCAAAAUUGGAAUGAGGAAAGGCCCAGACCCCUAAGGGAGGCAGCAGGAGGGAAUCUUCGGCAAUGGACGGAAGUCUGAACGAGCAACGCCGCGGGAGGGAAGAAGGUUUUCGGAUCGUAAAGCUCUGUUGUAAGAGAAGAACGAGUGUGAGAGUGGAAAGUUCACACUGUGACGGUACCUUACCAGAAAGGGACGGCUAACUACGUG